GACGAACGCUGGCGGCGUGCCUAAUACAUGCAAGUCGAGCGAAUCACUAGGAGCUUGCUCCUGGUGGUUAGCGGCGGACGGGUGAGUAACACGUGGGCAACCUGCCUGUAAGACUGGGAUAACACCGGGAAACCGGUGCUAAUACCGGAUAAUCCUUUUCCUCUCAUGAGGAAAAGCUGAAAGUCGGUUUCGGCUGACACUUACAGAUGGGCCCGCGGCGCAUUAGCUAGUUGGUGAGGUAACGGCUCACCAAGGCGACGAUGCGUAGCCGACCUGAGAGGGUGAUCGGCCAGACUGGGACUGAGGCACGGCCAAGACUCCUACGGGCGUCAGCAGUAGGGAAUCUUCCACAAUGGACGAAAGUCUGAUGGAGCAACGCGGCGUGAGCGAUGAAGGCCUUCGGGUCGUAAAGCUCUGUUGUUAGGGAAGAACAAGUACUGGAGUAACUGCCGGUACCUUGACGGUACCUAACCAGAAAGCCACGGCUAACUACGUGCCAGCCGCCGCAGUAACAC
rnacentral:rRNA from 1 species